AUAUAAAUCAUCCCAGGGAUCUUGUUAAAAUACAGAUUCUGGAUCAGGAGGUCUUUGAUAGAGUCAGAGAGUCUGCAUUUCUAACAAGCUCCCAGGUAAUACUAAU
rnacentral:pre_miRNA from 1 species